GAUGAACGCUGGCGGCGUGCUUAACACAUGCAAGUCGAACGGGAAACCUUUUAUUGAAGCUUCGGCAGAUUUAGAUUGUUUCUAGUGGCGGACGGGUGAGUAACGCGUGGGUAACCUGCCUUAUACAGGGGGAUAACAGUCAGAAAUGACUGCUAAUACCGCAUAAGCGCACAGAGCUGCGUGGCUCAGUGUGAAAAACUCCGGUGGUAUAAGAUGGACCCGCGUUGGAUUAGCUAGUUGGUGAGGUAACGGCCCACCAAGGCGACGAUCCAUAGCCGGCCUGAGAGGGUGAACGGCCACAUUGGGACUGAGACACGGCCCAGACUCCUACGGGAGGCAGCAGUGGGGAAUAUUGCACAAUGGGGGAAACCCUGAUGCAGCGACGCCGCGUGAAGGAAGAAGUAUCUCGGUAUGUAAACUUCUAUCAGCAGGGAAGAAAAUGACG
rnacentral:rRNA from 1 species